CUUAUAUGGACUGAAACAAGCUCCUAACACCAAAAGUUUGACAAAACGAUGUUGUCAAAUGAGUUCAAAAUAAAUGAAUGUGACAAGUGUAUAUGCGUGAAAAAUACACCAGAUGCCUAUAUAUUUGUAUGUAGUCAAUAUGUUGAUGAUGAACAAUAGUCACGAAAUGGUGCUAAACGCUAUGAAAAUGCUUACGAAGCAUUACGACAUGAAAGACUUGGGUGUGGCAGAUGUAAUACUAGAGAUAAAAAUCUCUAGAACAUUUGAAGGAAUUGUACUUUCCCAAUCUCAUUUGUUGAGAAAAUAUUUAAAAAAGUUUUAAGUAUUGAUACAAAUCUACACUUGGUCAAAAUAAGGGUGAAAGUGUGUCACAAUUGAGAUAUUUACAAGUAGUUAGCAAUCUAGUGUAUAUCACUUGAUCGGAUAAUGCUUUUGUUGUGAAUAAACUUGUAGAUUCACGAGUAAUUCAGACCAUGAUUAUUGGGUGGCAUUGAAAGGGGUCCUUAGGUAUUUGAAAUAUACCAUGACCUAUGGAUUACAUUUCACAAGAUAUCCUGCGGUAUUGAAAGGAUAUUGCGAUGCGAUGAUAUACACUAAGUCUAAAGUGGAUGAAAUGGGAUGAAAGCCCUAAAGUGGAUUAAAUGGGAUGAAAGCCAAUCAUGACGGUUGUUUGGAUACAUAAGAACAAUUGGAAUAUUUGAGAAUAUUCAUAAAGUUCGAAUGCAUUGCAAUGCUUUAAUGAUGAUAUUGAAUACCCAUAUAUGAAAUCCACUAGUAAAUAUGAUUGACUAGUGUAACAGUUUGUUAGAAAUCCUCCAGCAUUGUUGUUUGAAAUUGAUAAAACUUUAGAUAAAGCUAAUGAGAAGCAUGUAGUUUCAUGAGAGAAUUUCUUAGUUGGUGAUAAUGUGUAUCUAUCAAAUGAAUCGAUCAUUGGCUAGCUAAAUUUGAAAAGAUACUAAG
rnacentral:lncRNA from 1 species